UACGGGGGGGGCAAGCGUUGUUCGGAAUUACUGGGCGUAAAGGGCUCGUAGGCGGCCAACUAAGUCAGACGUGAAAUCCCUCGGCUUAACCGGGGAACUGCGUCUGAUACUGGAUGGCUUGAGUUCGGGAGAGGGAUGCGGAAUUCCGGGUGUAGCGGUGGAAUGCGUAGAGAUCCGGAAGAACACCGGUGGCGAAGGCGGCCUGCUGGGCAGUGGCUGACGCUGAGGCGCGACAGCGUGGGGAGCAAACAGG
rnacentral:rRNA from 1 species